ensembl:rRNA 5S_rRNA 5S ribosomal RNA
GUCAAUGGCCAUACCACCCUGAAUGUGCCCGAUCUUGUUUCGUCUCAGAAGCUAAACAAGGCGAGGUCUGGUUAGUAUUUGGGUGGCAGAACGCAAAUGCUACAGACU